GAGUAGGAAGUGUCUGAUUAACAUGGGGCCAAAAGAUUGGUUGGACCAGGUGUGCCAUUUACAUAGCAUGCAAAGAAGAUGACCACCCCACCCUAAUCUUUUAUUAUGCAGCUGGGUUCUCUACCUGGCCAGCGCCCUGUUGUCUGCUCCUUACUGCACACAUGGUUGACAAAGAAAAGAGAAGAUGUUGGGAAAACCAGCCCCACACCACCCGGUGCUGGGCUUCUUCAUGGAAUUCAAGGUGCAAUAGUUACAAGUGGGUAGUUUUUCACAGUGCUACCCCAAAACUGGGGACCCAGGGUUACAAUGCGGCAGCACUUGUACUUCUUAUGAGCCACAGUUGGACCGAGUUUCCUAUUAUAUUGUUUGCCCCAAGCAAUCAAAUGAUUGGGGCUUCAAAGAGUUAAAUCUUGCAUAUAAAUUAAGAAAGAUUACUAUAAUUUGAUUGGGAGUAUGGGUAGACCAUUUGGUCUAUACCAUAGCCCAGUUUCAGAGGAGUGUGUUCCCCCUUUUGUUUCCCAGUUUUCUUUUUGUUUUGAAACACCCUUGGCAAUGUAAAGCAUUGAAGUGCUAGAUGUUACUUUUACAAGUCCUCAGAGUGUGCAUUAUGUAACUGCUUGCCUCCUCAAUCCUGUAAUCCUUCCCCCUGUUUGUGAUGGCUUUCACCCUUCCUUCCUUUUCUUCCUUUUCCUUUUCUUCCUUCCUUCAUUCCUUUUCUUCCUUCCUUCCUUCAGUCCUCCCUUCCUUUCUUCCUUCCUUCCCUCCUUCCUUCCCUCUCUCCCUCCAUGCAUUCUUCUUUCCUCUCUCUCCCUUCCCCUCCCCUCCUCUUCCCUACUACUCAUCCUUUCCUUCCUUUCCUUUUCCCUUUCUCCUUUCCUCCCUCCCUUCCCUUUUUUUUAAAAAAAAUGGAUCAUAAUAUAUUUUUCUGACAUUUAAACCUGUAACUUAAAAAAUUUUAAUAAUUAAAAAGUUAUAUCUGUAAAAUGUCUCUAAACUUUAAGCAAUUGCUGAAAACUUC
rnacentral:lncRNA from 1 species